AUACCAGCUCUCCGAGUGGUAGGGAUGAUUAUUGGGCUUAAAGCGUCCGUAGCCGGCUUAGCAAGUCUCCUGUUAAAUUCAGCGACCUAAUCGUUGAGCCGCGGGAGAUACUACUAGGCUAGGAGGCGGGAGAGGCCGACGGUACUUCCGGGGUAGGGGUGAAAUCCUAUAAUCCCGGGCGGACCACCAGUGGCGAAGGCUGUCGGCUAGAACGCGCUCGACGGUGAGGGACGAAAGCUGGGGGAGCGAACCGGAUUAGAUACCCGAGUAGUCC
rnacentral:rRNA from 1 species